rnacentral:rRNA from 1 species
AGUGAACGCUGGCGGUAGGCCUAACACAUGCAAGUCGAACGGCAGCACAGUAAGGGCUUGCUCUUACGGGUGGCGAGUGGCGGACGGGUGAGGAAUACAUCGGAAUCUACUUUUUCGUGGGGGAUAACGUAGGGAAACUUACGCUAAUACCGCAUACGACCUACGGGUGAAAGCAGGGGAUCUUCGGACCUUGCGCGAUUGAAUGAGCCGAUGUGGGAUUAGCUAGUUGGCGGGGUAAAGGCCCACCAAGGCGACGAUCCGUAGUUGGUCUGAGAGGAUGAGCAGCCACACUGGAACUGAGACACGGUCCAGACGCCUACGGGAGGCAGCAGUGGGGAAUGGUGGACGAUGGGGGGAAGCCUGAUCCAGCCAUACCGCGUGGGUGAAGAAGGCAUUCGGGUUGUAAAGCCCUUUUUUUGGGAGAGAAAAGCAGCAGGUUAAUACCCCGCUGUUCUGACGGUACCCAAAGAAUAAGCACCGGCUAACUUCGUG